UUGUCCCGGUUUAAGCGUGUAGGCUGGUUUUCCAGGCAAAUCCGGAAAAUCAAGGCUGAGGCGUGAUGACGAGGCACUACGGUGCUGAAGCAACAAAUGCCCUGCUUCCAGGAAAAGCCUCUAAGCAUCAGGUAACAUCAAAUCGUACCCCAAACCGACACAGGUGGUCAGGUAGAGAAUACCAAGGCGCUUGAGAGAACUCG
rnacentral:rRNA from 1 species